rnacentral:rRNA from 1 species
ACAGAGGGUGCAAGCGUUAAUCGGAAUUACUGGGCGUAAAGCGUGCGUAGACGGUUACAUAAGUCGGGUGUGAAAGCCCCGGGCUCAACCUGGGAAUUGCAUUCGAGACUGCGUAGCUAGGGUGCGGAAGAGGGAAGCGGAAUUUCCGGUGUAGCGGUGAAAUGCGUAGAUAUCAGGAGGAACACCGAUGGCGAAGGCAGGUCUCUGGGCAUUAACUGACGCUGAGGAGCGAAAGCAUGGGGAGCGAACAGGA